GACCUACGUCAAAUAGCCACAAAACCAUUAUGGCCAUUAUAUAAAGAAUGGAAAAUAAAAUUUCGUCACAUGUCCCUUUGUAAUUUGUUAAUUAUAAUGGAGCCCAAAUUUUGCAUUUUGAUAUAAUGAAUCAUUCUACGGUCAGUGUUACGGUGGUAUCAUAGAUAUCUCGGAUCUAUUGUACUAUCAUUGAUGCCUC
rnacentral:lncRNA from 1 species